CAGUGAUAAACAAGGCAGCAGAACCCAGAGAGUGACAGGUCUUGAAAUGCUCUUUCGUGUCAGUACGAGCACAGUGGAGGGCACAGAUUAGCCUUGUCCUCACUGGUGCCUCCAUUUCUGCGGGGUAAAAGAAUCGUUGCUCCACUCAGCCCUGUGGACCUAGGAAAUCAACAACUCAGGGCCAAAGACCCUUGCAGUCAACAAAAACAAGCCUCACCUCCCCACCUCCUGCCAGAGAAACUUGGUGUAUGUGUGCAGGAAAUUUAGACGAGAAACCAACAUGUAGUAUGUGCUCAGUGCGACUCCAGUUUUCUGUCGCCUGACAUCUCCCCUGAGCAACAUCAGUCACAGCCAUUCGCUUCAUCUGGAAGAGAUGAAACCUAACCAGAAGCUGCUCAAGAGACGAGGCACCUUCCCUAGGUCAAAGUCAGCUGCCGUGUGUCCUGGGAAUCUGUUCUGCUUGAAGACAUCGUGAUUGGAGGUUGAGAGGUGCAUGGGGAGCAAGAACGACACAAUUUUAAUUUGCACUUUGGGCUUUUACAGAAAACAUAUUCCACUGGAUCUGACUGAAAUGCCAUUUGAAUAUAUACAGAAUGGAAAUCUGAACAAAAUCACAUUUGUUCAUGAAUUCUUUUUAUAAUGCCAAACACAAACUUGACUUAGAAAGGGCAAGCUGAUCUGUCACUCUGGGGAUUUGAAUAUAUGCCCAGGCUAAUCAUCCUGCCCAUGACGAUAGUGGCUCGUAUAACAGCCCCUGGUCUCCCUGCUCCCUCCCCAAGCCCUUGCUGCAUCAGUUUUGGGGGUGAUGCCUGUUAAAGUGGUCAUGUGGGCCCAGCUGGUAUUUCCCCCUUCUGCCUGGAUGAGCAGUUGGCCAAACUAUGGGCUUUCAGUGACCGGGGCCAGAGUUUCUCCCAGGGUAAUGGACAAGAGGCACGGAAAAAAUGUUUCCACCUACUUCUGUCCUUAUCACAGCUGCACUUGCCAUUGAUGGGUGAUGGAUUUUACCACAGACACAAAGUCAUGCUUUAUGAAGUUAUUCUCGUUGUACCCUACAAGCAGGGAUUCUCCCGGGUGUUGAUGCGUCUGGGCAAGCCCAGUAUCUCAGGUCCCUGGUUGUCAUGUCAGUGCCAUCCAUUUCUACUUUCCCGAAGUCCAGAAACAUUUAGCCCAUGCUCCAGGGAGAUGGAGGGCCAAGGGAAGAACGCGACCCUACCGCCGAUAAACUGUGCACUCUGAAACACUGUGUUUAAUUCCUCAGAACCUCAGUCUUCAUCUAUACGUACUUACCCAGCUUACAGGAGAAAACACGCGGGGCCCUUCUUGAAUUUGCAUGUCAGUCACUCAUUCAAAUUCUUAUUAAAAGUUUUCU